rnacentral:rRNA from 1 species
AUUGAACGCUGGCGGCAUGCCUUACACAUGCAAGUCGAACGGCAGCACGGAGCUUGCUCUGGUGGCGAGGGCGAACGGGUGAGUAAUAUAUCGGAACGUACCCAAGAGUGGGGGAUAACGUAGCGAAAGUUACGCUAAUACCGCAUACGAUCUAAGGAUGAAAGUGGGGGCUCGCAAGACCUCAUGCUCCUGGAGCGGCCGAUAUCUGAUUAGCUAGUUGGUGAGGUAAAGGCUCACCAAGGCAUCGAUCAGUAGCUGGUCUGAGAGGACGACCAGCCACACUGGAACUGAGACACGGUCCAGACUCCUACGGGAGGCAGCAGUGGGGAAUUUUGGACAAUGGGGGCAACCCUGAUCCAGCAAUGCCGCGUGAGUGAAGAAGGCCUUCGGGUUGUAAAGCUCUGUCCUAUGGGAAGAAUGUCAUUGCGGUUAAUACCCGUAGUGAGUGACGGUACCAUAGAAGAAAGCACCGGCUAACUCCGUGCCAGCAGCCGCAGUAACAC